rnacentral:rRNA from 1 species
GCUGGUCUGAGAGGACGACCAGCCACACUGGAACUGAGACACGGUCCAGACUCCUACGGGAGGCAGCAGUGGGGAAUUUUGGACAAUGGGGGCAACCCUGAUCCAGCCAUUCCGCGUGAGUGAAGAAGGCCUUCGGGUUGUAAAGCUCUUUCAGCAGGAACGAACGGUGGCCACUAAUACUGGCUACUAAUGACGGUACCUGAAGAAGAAGCACCGGCUAACUACGUGCCAGCAGCCGCGGUAAUACGUAGGGGUGCGAGCGUUAAUCGGAAUUACUGGGCGUAAAGCGUGCGCAGGCGGUUCCAUAAGACAGAUGUGAAAAUCCCCGGGCUUAACCUGGGAACUGCGUUUGUGACUGUGGGGACUCGAGUGUGGCAGAGGGGGGUGGAAUUCCACGUGUAGCAGUGAAAUGCGUAGAGAUGUGGAGGAACACCGAUGGCGAAGGCAGCCCCCCUGGGUCAACACUGACGCUCAUGCACGAAAGCGUGGGGAGC